rnacentral:lncRNA from 1 species
AGGAAGUACUAUAAGCUUAUGCUUACCAAAUGUACUGCCAGCCGAAUAUUGGAAAUAUAAUUCAAAGAAAGCUGUAACUGCUACAACAGCAGGUGGAAAUAAGGUAAUAUAUAGCAAGUAUGCUACUCAAGUACCCUUUCUAAUCUCUUUUAGAGAAGUAUUUGUUGAUACAGUAUAUAUGUCAACCACAAUUGGAUGUGAUAUUUUAUUAGGACAGAAUUUCCUAUUAAAAUAUGCACCAUUUACACAAUAUAUUGAUAAAUAUAUGUUCACAACACCUUGUGCACAUAAGAUAUUUACACCAAAAAUAAAUAAAGCUGUUACGAUUGCAUAUAGAGAAAUAAAUCAUCAGAGUUCCUCAACCCAGCGUGGUGGAUGUUGGAGUACAGAAAAAUUCAAACCAGUUACAGUUUUAAAAAUGACAACAGAAAAUAGGAUUGAAAAAUUAAAAAAGGAAAUUUCUGAAACAUAUUCUGAAAAUCCAUUAGAAAAAUGGAAUAUUGAUAAAGUAAAGGCCAAAAUAGAAUUAACCAAUCCAGAUACUAUUGUUAGAGUUAAACCUAUGAAAUAUAGUGUUGAUGAUCAAAAAGAAUUUAGAAAUCAGAUAAAAGAACUGCUAGAAGCUAAAUUAAUUAGACCUAGUAAAAGCCCUCAUAGCAGUCCAGCCUUUAUGGUUAGAAAACAUAGUGAGAUAAAAAGAGGAAAAGCCAGAAUGGUGAUAAAUUAUAAAAAAUUAAAUGAAGUAACUAAGUUCGAUGGAUAUUACUUGCCAAAUAAGGAUACCCUUAUUAAACAAGUACAAAACAAAAAGAUAUUUUCAAAAUUUGAUUGUAAGUCAGGGUUUUGGCAAAUCAUGCUUACAGAGGAAAGUAAACCACUAACUGCAUUUAGUACCCCCAAUCCUUUAGGACAAUACGAAUGGAAUGUAAUGCCAUUUGGGUUGAAAAAUGCACCACAGAUAUUUCAGAGAAGAAUGGAUGAGGUAAUCAAACCAAUUACUCAUUUUUGUAUUGCAUAUGUAGAUGAUUUACUUAUUCAUUCAAAUAAUAUUGAUGAACAUAUUGAGCAUCUUGAGAAAUUUUGUUAUAUUAUGAAAAAACAUGGUAUUACACUUUCUCGAAAGAAAGCUGAGAUAGCCAAAACAGAAAUAGAAUUCUUAGGAUUAUUUAUAAAAGAAGGAGAAUUGCAAUUGCAAUCCCAUAUUGGAGAAAAGCUUCAAGAAUUUCCUGAAGAAAUCAAAGAUAAAAAACAAUUACAAAGCUUCCUUGGUAUAUUAAAUUAUGCUGAAGGAUUCAUUGAAAAUUGUGCCAAACUGAAAAAUUAUUUUCUUCCAAAAUUAAGAAAAAAUAUAAUGUGGUCUUGGGAAGAACAAGAUUGUGAAAAUAUAAGAAAGGUAAAAGAAGAAUUAAAGGUAUUACCCAAACUUGUAAUACCCCAAGAAGAAGAUUUUUUUAUCCUGGAAACUGAUGCUUCAGACUACUACUGGGGAGCAGUGUUAAAGGUUAAAAAGAAUCAUAAGGAAUAUAAGUGUGAAAAAGAUUGUUCUUGUCCUGAAAUACUUGCAGGUUACACAUCAGGAACAUUCAAAGAAGUUGAAACAAGAUAUGAGACGAAUAGAAAAGAACUCAUUGCUGUAAAAAGAGGAGUUCAAAAAUAUGAAGAUUACUUAUUACCAAAGAAGUUCUUGAUCAGAACUGAUAAUACUCAAGUUAAAGCAUUUUUGAAAAAUAAUGUUGAUCCAUCUAUUAACAAUAGAUAUAUUAUUAGGAUCCAAAUUUGGUUUUCAUAUUUCAAAUUUGAUAUUGAAUACAUAAAAGGAAAAACUAAUUUUCUUCCUGAUUAUCUUAGCAGGGAUGGAGCUAGAACAAUUAAGGACGAAAGUCCAGAUACUUGAGAUAAAAGUUUCCUAUUUGGAAACUCAAAUUCAAAAUAUCCAAGAUAGCCUUCAAGGCAAGAAUUUAGCCCAUGAGGCAGAAGUUACUUGUACCAAAUCUAGUAUCCCUUUGCAGGGACUUGUGAAUACUAGUGCUCUUCCCGAGGAUAAAGGGAAAGAAAAGAAAGUAAUAGGAACCCCUUCGCAGGGAAUACUCAAACCUAUUACUGGUAAUAAAGAUAUUCCAGAUAUCAAAAAAGAAGGUAGCUCUUCACAGAGCCAAACUCAAUCUAAACUUUCUAUUGAAAGGAUAGAUCCUAAAGAUAUUGUCAAAAUAUGCCAUGAAGCAAAAAUGCCGAGAAAAGAUAGUUAUGAAGAAGUAACAUUGUUUAUUGUUAUUUUUAACAUUCUAUCAGAUUGGUAUUUGGAGAUUGGAAAGUGGAUGAAGACUCUCCAC